AUUAAGUAACAGUUAUAUAAAAUCUGAAAAGAUUAUUAAAAACCUAAAUACCAAAAAUUGAUUAAUUAUAAAAGUGAAACAAAACAUUAUUAAAAACCUAAAUACCAAACAUUAUUAUAAAAGUGAAACAAAAUAUUAUUAAAAUCUGAAAACAUUAUUAAAAACCUAAAUACCAAACAUUAUUAAUAUUUUAUUAUAUAUUUAUAUUUUAUAAUAUAAUUAAUUUUCUAAUUUUAACCCUAAACCCUAACACAUCUGAAACUCAACUCCUCCUUAUUCCUACCCGCGCCGCUCUUCUCACUCUCAGCCUCUCAUUCGUCCCUCCCUUCCGUCCAGCGCCGCGCCGUGCCGUCGUCCACCCGUCGUCGCCGUGUCGUCCGCCUGUCGCGGACUACCCAGGCUGGGCCAGGCGUCUCCCCUUCCGCGACGCGACAGCCCAGGCGACUACCCCCUUCUCGGUUCCAGUUUCCAGAGGCGAGAAGAAGGCCCCCUUCCGGCGGCAGCCCAGGCGACAGGCGUCGUCCUUGGAGGCGGAGGCGACUACCCCCUUCCGGCUUCCAGUUUCCAGCGGCGACUACCCCCUACCCGACUUCCCCUUCCGGCGCGGCUGCCGGCCUGUACCCUAGGCCGUCUCAGAAAAAAACCGGCAAGCGUGAGAUGGAUGCUGCGAAGUGCCUGACAACCUUCCUCUCUGAGUAUGUAGUUUCUGCUUUUACAGAUGCAGCUAAAGUUUUGUUCAAUGAUCCCAGCCAUGUGACCGAGCUAAGAUGCUAGGCCUCUAUUGAGGCUGUGGCGAAUCCUGAAUGGUUGGUUCAGAGUUUAGUGAGUUCUCUGGAAAAGAAAGUAGAUGAAGGAGAGAAGAAGUAUGAAGAGUCGAACAAGCUAGCUAUGGAGGCAGAGACAGAGAUAAUUAAGCUGAAGACCGAAAUGCAGAGGAAGGGGAGAAUGGUCAUCAAGAACUUUUGAGUGCAGCACCAAGUAAAAGAUUUGGUACUGAAUCAGAUAGCGCAUUGAGGAAAUCUACCAUUGAAAGGCAACGUGGAAAAGCUUAACUCCAUGAAUUUGAUGCUUUAUAUGGCACCGAUUGCUGUUGUAGUUUGGCUGUGUUUGUAAUGGAACCUGAUAUAUUUAACUUAGUUGUCGCACUUGGAAAGGAACAUAAAUUCAUGUGGAUUCUUCUUUUCGUUAAUUCAA